rnacentral:rRNA from 1 species
UACGUAGGCAGCGAGCGUUGUUCGGAGUUACUGGGCGUAAAGGGUGUGUAGGCGGUCCUCUAAGUUUGGUGUGAAAUCUCCCGGCUCAACCGGGAGGGUGCGCCGAAAACUGGAGGGCUAGAGUGCGGGAAGGGAGAGUAGAAUUCCGUGGUGUAGUGGUGAAAUGCGUAGAUAUCAGGAGGAAUACCGGUGGUGCAGACGGCUCUCUGGACCGCGACUGACGCUGAGACACGAAAACGUGGGUAGCAAACGAGG